GAUGAACGCUGGCGGCGUGCCUAAUACAUGCAAGUCGAGCGAACAGAUGAGGAGCUUGCUCCUCUGACGUUAGCGGCGGACGGGUGAGUAACACGUGGAUAACCUACCUAUAAGACUGGGAUAACUUCGGGAAACCGGAGCUAGUACCGGAUAAUAUAUUGAACCGCAUGGUUCAAUAGUGAAAGACGGUUUUGCUGUCACUUAUAGAUGGAUCCGCGCCGCAUUAGCUAGUUGGUAAGGUAACUGCUUACCAAGGCAACGAUGCGUAGCCGACCUGAGAGGGUGGUCGGCCACACUGGAAGUGAGACACGGUCCAGACUCCUACGGGAGGCAGCAGUAGGGAAUCUUCCGCAAUGGGCGAGAGCUUGACAGAGCAACGCCGCGUGAGUGAUGAUGGUGUUCGGAUCGUAAAACGCUGUUAUUAGGGAAGAACAAAUGUGUAAGUAACUAUGCACGUCUUGACGGUACCUGAUUAGAAAGCCACGGCUAACUACGUG
rnacentral:rRNA from 1 species